UACCAGCACCCCGAGUGGUCGGGACGAUUAUUGGGCCUAAAGCGUCCGUAGCCGGUUCUACAAGUCUUCCGUUAAAUCCACCUGCUUAACAGAUGGGCUGCGGAGGAUACUAUGGAGCUAGGAGGCGGGAGAGGCAAGCGGUACUUAGUGGGUAGGGGUAAAAUCCGUUGAUCCAUUGAAGACCACCAGUGGCGAAGGCGGCUUGCCAGAACGCACUCGACGGUGAGGGAUGAAAGCUGGGGGAGCAAACCGG
rnacentral:rRNA from 1 species